ensembl:lincRNA
GAUUUUACACUAUCUUUGUUUGCAGAGACAUGCCUAUAGCUCGCUUUUGGGAUGACUCAGUAAGAACGUAACUGGCUUUAAGAAAGGUCAUAGUUCAGGGCUUCUCCAGCUCGUUAGGUCGCUAGUAAGUAAUUGAUCUACGCUUUAUUUGUAUUGCGACAUUUAUUUGCUCUGGCUGGACUCCUUGUCACCGCUCCGUGUUGGGCAGGAGUCUCAGGAACCGUCUUCUCCGGAUCAAACAACUGGUUUCCUGAAGAAUGAGUCAGUGCCCUCGGGUAGCUGUUGUUGUUUAUUUUGUCUUGUUCGUUUCCUGGCGAGACGACUGUCGCAGGACUCUUCCCUGGGAGAAGGCCGAGUCUGUCGGUGCAGAUCGGGAGACUGCGGAAUUCUGCAGCGGAGACUCCAGCCCUCACCUGCUCCCCUGCUCCCCUGGCCUCUGGCCCAGCGCAGCUCAUAGGUCUGGCCACAGCGGGGCUGUUGUGGGCUCCCCAGGAAGGAGGGGUCUGGAAGGGGAGGGGGGGAUCUGAGAGGGCUGCUGGGGGAGAUGGGGUGGGGGUCAGGGGACAUGUGGUACUGCAGAUCCGGAGGUGCCACAGGCCACUGCCACAACUCAUGAGCUUGACCAGCUGGAGGACAAGGGGGAGUAGAGGGAAGGAAGGGGAGGAGGCGAUGGGAGAGUCAGAGUGAGAUAGCGAUAUAGGGAGAUAAAAGAACCAGCCCGCCCACAAAUACGUUAGCAACAUCUCCUCUGUUCUUUUGAAGUCAAAGAAAGUGUCUCGUUUAUUUUCCUUGAAAUCAAGAGCCAGACACGAAGAGCUAAUAGAUCCCUUUAUUCUGCCUGUCCUAAAAAGGUGUUUCUUUAUGCUUUCCCCUGGCCAGGCUGGUCUUGUCACCCGGUACCCUGUUCCACCAAUCUGUGUCAGUGUACAGUGGGGCAAAAUAUUACAUCUACUCCAGCGCAGAUUUUAAAAGCUUCAUGGAGCCGAGUCAAGAUAAAGCAACAUUUCCAAUUCCAGAAUUGAAACCUUUUUAAAAUCGCAUUGCCUUUAACUCAUGGUUGCUUCCUGUUCAGUUUUUUUUUGAAUGGUGCUCAUUUUCCUUGGCCGGUGCAGUAGUCUGUUCGGGAGAGAUGACUGUCCAUGUGCACCCUAGCAUUGACGCCCCGCCCCGGAAGCUCAGUCCCCCGUGUUGAUCCCCGUGUUGAGGUAAAGCACUUCGUCUCCCACCCCCUCUCUCAGCCUCCAAACACCUCCGUCCGCUCAUCACCGAGAAGACCAGCCACACUUUAAUAGCAGCCCUGGGCAUUUCAAUUACAACAGGUUGGCUCUGACAUGUUCUGGUUCACUGUGGUGACAAUUACAGGUUUGCAAGCUUCCAAACUGUGCUUUUCUUUUUCAUAAACACAGCUCGGUAUGCAGCAAUUAUUGUGUAGGUUGGUGCGUGCACAGUUUUUAAAUGGCACUGUGUAAAAUCCCCGAUCGCGUUCGUGCAAUGGCUGUCAAGGCAGCUCUGAGAGCCCCCCCAGAGCCGUGCUGCUCUCCCAGAUGUCCGGGCCUCCUGCUGCCAGAGGCCGGAGGUGAUCUGUAUGACGGUGCAGCGCCAUUUUGCCCGAGAAGUUCUCUUCUUCUCCACUAACUUGUCUUGCUUUCACAAUGGUCUUCUGUGUUUCUUCUAGAGUAGAAGAACGGGAACUUCCACUCUUUGCUUUACCAGACUACAAUAGUACACUGCUUUACUGUAAUACACACUCGCAAGUGUACUAUAAUUCAGCCCUUAGUGUUAACAGAAUCAUUGCAUGAGUGUGCCCGACACACAGGUACUGUAUGUAUAAAUGGCAUGAUGUCUUCCUUCUAUCCUGUGAUUAUAUAGUCCACACCACUGACUUAUUGGCUGCUGUCCCAUUUAAAUAUGGAUGUAUUCUAUGGAGUCCUUUAUUCCACACUUCAUUCAUUGUCCCGCACCCUCUUAACUCCUGUAUUGCACGGUAUAAUCAUCGGAACUUUUGUUGCGGUGUUACGUAUUAGAUCUGUGACUUUAUGAUGUUCUCUUGAAUGUACCGAACAUCAGAUUUUGACAACAGUAACCCACUAAAGUUGCUUUGGUGUAUAUAGUUAUCUGUCAAACAACAAACUCCAAGCUGAACUGAAUUUUUAAUACUUUCCUUGUUUUGCUUUUGGUUGUCGCACUGAAAGAAACACGAGAGUAUAGCUGAGAUGCAGCCGAGUGUUGUGGGUUAUCUUGAAAACGCAGUGAAGUGCCUAAGGCUGUGCAGGAGUGUGGAGUCACUUUGGGCUGAUAACACACGCGGAUCUGGGCUCCCUAUUAUUCUUCAGACUCUCCCUCAACUACUGUUGCUUCCCAGCUGAGACCCCCCUCCCCCCAGCUCCUCACCUCCUGUCCUCCAGCCCCAGUCUGCAGUCCAGCACAAUGCCAUUGUCAUCCAUCGGAUUGUUGCAACCAUUAGCCAUUCAGCCUGCCGUCAUGCCUUUUGUCCCGU